rnacentral:rRNA from 1 species
AUUGAACGCUGGCGGCAGGCCUAACACAUGCAAGUCGAGCGAGCGGCGGACGGGUGAGUAAUGUCUGGGAACCUGCCUGAUGGAGGGGGAUAACUACUGGAAACGGUAGCUAAUACCGCAUACCAUCAGAUGUGCCCAGAUGGGAUUAGCUAGUAGGUGGGGAAACGGCUCACCUAGGCGACGAUCCCUAGCGUGUCUGAGCGGAUGCCCAGCCACACUGGAACUGAUACACGGUCCAGACUCCUACGGGAGGCAGCAGUGGUGAAUAGUGCACAAUGUGCGCAAGCCUGAUGCAGCCAUGCCGCGUGUGUGAAGAAGGCCUUCGGGUUGUAAAUCACUUUCAGCGGGGAGGCGUUACCCGCAGAAGAAGCACCGGCUAACUCCGUGCCAGCAGCCGCGGUAAUUC